UCCUACGGGGGGCAGCAGUCGGGAAUAUUGCGCAAUGGAGGAAACUCUGACGCAGUGACGCCGCGUAUGGGAAGAAGGUUUUCGGAUUGUAAACCAUUGUCGUUAGGGAAGAAGAAGUGACAGUACCUAAGGAGGAAGCUCCGGCUAACUAUGUGCCAGCAGCCGCGGUAAUACAUAGGGAGCGAGCGUUAUCCGGAUUUAUUGGGUUUAAAGGGUGCGUAGGCGGGCUGUUAAGUCAGCGGUCAAAUGUCGGGGCUCAACCCCGGCCUGCCGUUGAAACUGGCGGCCUCGCGUGGGCGAGAAGG
rnacentral:rRNA from 1 species